rnacentral:lncRNA from 1 species
CAAACAUUAAAUUCCUCAUCCUCCACUCCCAAUUCAUCAUAUGGAAAGGUAUAUGGAAGUAAAGAUUCCGAUGGGUACUAGCAAGGUAAUCCGCCAAUACAUUAUAUGAAAGGACAACAAACUUAUCUGCAAAUGAUAUAUAUACAAAUUAAUCAAACCAACUAAAUAAGCUAUACCGAUGGGUACUAGCAAGGUAAUCCGCCAAUACAUUAUAUGAAAGGACAACAAACUUAUCUGCAAAUGAUAUAUAUACAAAUUAAUCAAACCAACUAAAUAAGCUAUCUUUCAAUUUGGUUUCUGCUGUUACUACUUUCUGCUAUUU